rnacentral:rRNA from 1 species
GACGAACGCUGGCGGCGUGCUUAACACAUGCAAGUCGAACGAGACGAUUGAAAGCUUGCUUUUAAAAGUCGAGUGGCAAACGGGUGAGUAACGCGUAGACAACCUGCCUUUGAGAUGGGGACAACAGUUCGAAAGGACUGCUAAUACCGAAUGUUGUAUAUUUUCCACAUGGAAGAUAUAUUAAAGAUGGCCUCUAUUUAUAAGCUAUCGAUCAAAGAUGGGUUUGCGUCUGGUUAGCUGGUUGGUGGGGUAACGGCCUACCAAGGCGACGAUCAGUAGCCGGUCUGAGAGGAUGAACGGCCACAUUGGGACUGAGACACGGCCCAGACUCCUACGGGAGGCAGCAGUGGGGAAUCUUCCACAAUGGACGAAAGUCUGAUGGAGCAACGCCGCGUGAGUGAAGAAGGGUUUCGGCUCGUAAAGCUCUGUUGUCGGGGACGAAUGUGCAGUAUUUGAAUAAAGUACUGCAAUGACGGUACCUAACCAGAAAGCCACGGCUAACUACGUGCCAGCAGCCGCGGUAAGAC